rnacentral:lncRNA from 1 species
CCUGUUGCGCCCCUUGUUUGCUAUAGGCAGUCCAGCAGGUAAAGCAAAACCUGUUCGGAGAAAAGGACAAGACAAGGAGUAUCAAAUGGAUCCGCAGAGUUAAUCUAGGAGGGUGGAUUGGUUUGGUGGUCAAGAAGUGUCGCCCUUUAAGUUAGUGUCAAAUCUAUACAUCCAAUCCAAAUAAAAUAAAAUAAAAUAAAUAGUGCAGAUUACUCCAACCUCAUUUCUACAAAAUAAAUAAAUAUGUUGCAUUUUAUAUACUUUUUCCAUUAAUCAAAGAAAUUGAGAAUUUUAUGGUCAUCCAAAUAUGGGGG